rnacentral:antisense_RNA from 1 species
UGUGGGAGCGGGCUUGCUCGCGAAAGCGGUGUGUCUGUCACCGAUGAUGUUGGAUGUCAGUUCGCCUUCGCGAGCAAGCCCGCUCCCACA